rnacentral:rRNA from 1 species
AUUGAACGCUGGCGGCAGGCCUAACACAUGCAAGUCGAACGAGUGGCGGACGGGUGAGUAAUAUAUGGGAAACUGCCCGAUGGAGGGGGAUAACUACUGGAAACGGUAGCUAAUACCGCAUACUAUCGGAGGUGCCCAUAUGGGAGUAGCUUGUAGGUGAGGUAACGUCUCACCUAGCCGACGAUCCGUAGUUGGUCUGAGAGGAUGAUCCGCCACACGGGGACUGAGACACGGUCAAGACUCCUACGGUAGGCAGCAGUGGGGAAUAUUGCACAAUGGGCGCAAGCCUGAUGCAGCCAUGCCGCGUGUAUGAAGAAGGCCUUGGGGUUGUAAAGUACUUUCAGUGGGGAGGCGUUACCCGCAGAAGAAGCACCGGCUAACUCCGUGCCAGCAGCCGCGGUAAUUC